GAUGAACGCUGGCGGCGUGCCUAAUACAUGCAAGUCGAGCGAACGGACGAGAAGCUUGCGUCUGUGAUGUUAGCGGCGGACGGGUGAGUAACACGUGAAUAACCUAUCUAUAAGACUGGAAUAACUUCGGGAAACCGGAGCUAAUACCGGAUAAUAUUUUGAACCGCAUGGUUCAAAAGUGAAAGACGGGCUUGCUGUCACUUAUAGAUGUAUCCGCGCGGCUUUAGCUAGUUGGUACGGUAACGACCUACCAAGUCAACGAUUCAUAGGCGACCUGAGCGGGGGGUGGGCCACACUGGAGCUGAGACACGGUCCAGACGACUACGGGAGGCAGCAGUAGGGAACCUGCCGCAGUGGGCGAAAGCCUGACGGAGCAAGGCCGAGUGAGUUACGGAGGUCUUCGGAGCGUAAAACUCGGUUAUUAGGGAAGAACAUAUGUGUAAGUAACUGUGCACAUCUUGACGGUACCUAAUCAGAAAGCCACGGCUAACUACGUG
rnacentral:rRNA from 1 species